rnacentral:misc_RNA from 1 species
UGAGUUCAUGGGCUAUCCCUUUACACCAGAGGAAGAGAAACGAGGGGUGGUGCAACAAAUCAUAGAUUUGUGCAGUUUCGAUAGUUUGAGGAACAUGAAGGCGAGCAAAAGUGGUGUGUAUAGCCCGGAUUCCCCAUAUACCAUUCGAAACACUGAAUUUUUCAGAAAAGGUACCAUUGGAGAUUGGAAGAAUUAUUUCAGUGAAGAAAUGGGUGCUCGUUUGGAUAAGAUAAUAGAAGAAAAACUGAACAGUUCCGGCUUCUCUUUCCUUUCUCAUUAAUUAAUUAAUUAAUUACAAAAAUUUAAAAUUUUCUUGUCGAUAUAAGCAAAAUUUGGGAAUAAGCUUCCAAGAAGAAUGUCUCGGUCUUCUUUCUUUUCUUUUCUUUUCUUGUUUGAUAUUUGUUAUUGUGAAAUGCCUACGCAAAGUAGAUUAUAGUGUUUUUUGGAUUUUGUUAAAGAGUGUGUGUCUUUCCG